rnacentral:ncRNA from 1 species
GGACCCGGGAGAGGCGGCUGCGGCCGACGCCGAAGGGGCAAAAACUCUCAGGCAAACGGACCGGGUCUG